rnacentral:rRNA from 1 species
AACGAACGCUGGCGGCAUGCCUAACACAUGCAAGUCGAACGAGACCUUCGGGUCUAGUGGCGCACGGGUGCGUAACGCGUGGGAACCUGCCCUUAGGUUCGGAAUAACUCCCCGAAAGGGGUGCUAAUACCGGAUAAUGUCUUCGGACCAAAGAUUUAUCGCCUUUGGAUGGGCCCGCGUUGGAUUAGCUAGUUGGUAGGGUAAAAGCCUACCAAGGCGACGAUCCAUAGCUGGUCUGAGAGGAUGAUCAGCCACACUGGGACUGAGACACGGCCCAGACUCCUACGGGAGGCAGCAGUGGGGAAUAGUGGACAAUGGGCGAAAGCCUGAUCCAGCAAUGCCGCGUGAGUGAUGAAGGCCUUAGGGUUGUAAAGCUCUUUUACCCGGGAGGAUAAUGACAGUACCGGGAGAAUAAGCGCCGGCUAACUCCGUG